UCCGUAGGCGGUGCGGCAAGUCGGGAGUGAAAUCUCUGGGCUUAACCCAGAGGCUGCUUCCGAAACUGCCGUCGCUAGAGUGUGAGAGAGGCGAGUGGAAUUGCGGGUGUAGCGGUGAAAUGCGUAGAUAUCCGCAGGAACAUCCGAGGCGAAGGCGGCUCGCUGGAUCACAACUGACGCUGAGGGACGAAAGCUAGGGGAGCAAACAGGAUUAGAUACCCUGGUAGUCCUAGCCCUAAACCAUCAGGACUUGGGGUUUGCCCUGUACGGGGCAAGUCCCGUAGCUAACGCGUUAAGUCCUGCGCCUGGGGAGUACGGUCGCAAGGCUGAA
rnacentral:rRNA from 1 species